rnacentral:lncRNA from 1 species
CAUCUAACACAUCACAAGACAAACCCAAUCGAAUGCUUUACGAUACAUAGUUGAAUAGACGUAUAAAUCAAAACGGUAUAGUUGAAUAGACGUAUAAAUCAAAACGGCUCAACGAAUAGAAGACAUAAUAAUAGAUGAACUGACCCAUUCAGACUAACUCUAGUAUUUCGCGGGAGAGAAGGAAAAGGCCUAUCCCGCCGUUGAGGAGUCGA